rnacentral:rRNA from 1 species
UACGUAGGGCGCAAGCGUUGUCCGGAAUUAUUGGGCGUAAAGAGCUCGUAGGCGGUCUGUCACGUCGGCUGUGAAAGCCCGGGGCUCAACCCCGGGUCUGCAGUCGAUACGGGCAGGCUAGAGUGCGGUAGGGGAGACUGGAAUUCCUGGUGUAGCGGUGAAAUGCGCAGAUAUCAGGAGGAACACCGAUGGCGAAGGCAGGUCUCUGGGCAUUAACUGACGCUGAGGAGCGAAAGCAUGGGGAGCGAACAGG